UUUUUUUUUAGUUUUUUUUUCUUUUUGUCGGCCAAGUUUCGUAUUAAUUAUUAAAGCCCAAUAAAGGGUAUUACAUAUGCUGGUGAAAAAGUCCGAUCUCUUACCAUUUACAACUUUGAUUUAAAUCUAAGGUCCAGCUUAACCCACCCAAAUUUAAAGAUAAGGUUAAGAAAAUAAAGUGCCACGUAGCAGACACAUGUCUAACGUGAGAUGAAGAGAUGUUGAAACACAACGGCGCCGGUUGAUCCACGAUCCACCUUGCUCCGGCGGUCGGGCUUGGUCAAAUCAACACCAUGUGCUUCUUCCACAGUAUUCGCCGGCUCUUAGUAACUGAAGACUCCAUGCCAUUAAGAAUUUUUUAAGAGAGAAAAAAGGGAGAAAACUUUUUAAGAAUUUUUUU
rnacentral:sRNA from 1 species